UACGAAGGGGGCUAGCGUUGCUCGGAAUCACUGGGCGUAAAGCGCACGUAGGCGGAUUCCUAAGUCAGGGGUGAAAUCCUGGAGCUCAACUCCAGAACUGCCAUUGAAACUGUUUAGCUUGAGGACGAGAGAGGUGAGUGGAAUUCCCCGUGUAGAGGUGAAAUUCGUAGAUAUUGGGAAGAACACCGGUGGCGAAGGCGGCUCACUGGCUCGUAUCUGACGCUCAGGCGCGACAGCGUGGGGAUCAAACAGG
rnacentral:rRNA from 1 species